GGCAGCGGAGCCCGUCCACCGCCCGAGACAUGACGAGGGUCUGUCUGUCCUGUGCGCUCUGGCCCGAGGAUCUAGAGGCUCCCACCGCUCACAACUUCAAGGUGAAGACUUUCAGGAAGGUCAAACUGUGUUCUGUCUGUCGUCAAGUGAUUGGCCGAGAGGGGAGCACCUGCAAAGUCUGCAGCCUCUCCUGUCAUCGCAAAUGCGAAGCCAAG